AACGAACGCUGGCGGCAGGCCUAACACAUGCAAGUCGAGCGGACCUUUCGGGGUCAGCGGCGGACGGGUGAGUAACGCGUGGGAAUAUGCCCUUCUCUACGGAAUAGUCCUGGGAAACUGGGGGUAAUACCGUAUACGCCCUUUGGGGGAAAGAUUUAUCGGGGAAGGAUUAGCCCGCGUUGGAUUAGGUAGUUGGUGGGGUAAUGGCCUACCAAGCCGACGAUCCAUAGCUGGUUUGAGAGGAUGAUCAGCCACACUGGGACUGAGACACGGCCCAGACUCCUACGGGAGGCAGCAGUGGGGAAUCUUAGACAAUGGGGGCAACCCUGAUCUAGCCAUGCCGCGUGAGUGAUGAAGGCCUUAGGGUUGUAAAGCUCUUUCAGCUGGAAGAUAAUGACGGUACCAGCAGAAGAAGCCCCGGCUAACUCCGUG
rnacentral:rRNA from 1 species